GACGAACGCUGGCGGCGUGCCUAAUACAUGCAAGUCGAACGCAGUGGGGACGGGUGAGUAACACGUGGGUAACCUCCCAUCAGAGGGGAUAACACUUGGAAACAGGUGCUAAACCGAUACUGAUGGAUGGACCCGCGGUGCAUUAGCUAGUUGGGGAGGUAACGGCUCACCAGGGCCACGAUGCAUAGCGGGCCUGGGGGGGGAAUGGGCCAAAUGGGAAUGGAGAAACGGCCAAGACUCCAACGGGAGGAGGCAGUAGGGAAGCUUCGGCAAUGGACGAAAGUCGGACCGAGAAAGGCCGCGGGAGUGAAGAGGGUUUUCGGAUCGUAAGACUCUGUUGUUAGAGAAGCGGUAUCUAACCAGAAAGCCACGGCUAACUACGUGCCAGCAGCCGCGGUAAUAC
rnacentral:rRNA from 1 species